AAUGUAAAAACAAAUCCCCAUAUUUCCAACGUCCUUUGAAUUGUUGAGUAGGAUUUAAAUCUACUCCAGCGGCCCCCGGGUGCAACAGAAACCUCAAUCUGUUGCUGAUCAUUUGCACGUUUAAACCAGGCAUCUUCUUUCCCAAUCUCUUCUAUUCUUUUCUUCCGUUCAUCUUCUGACAAUUCAGCCUCUUCCUCCACCACCAUUUCCGCCGCUGCAACACCGCUGCCAUUCACGUACUUUACCAAACUUCCAUUGCUUACUCCCUUAUCACUUUCCACCACACUAACGCCACCAUUACUAUAACUCCCUAUUGACGAUCCAUUUAAACCAUAGUUAUCGGAAGUACUAGUAGAAGCAGCCCCAUUUCCAUUCACUUCCUUCAACAAUUCACGCUCCCUCUCUUCAAUCACCACACUGUCUUCUCUAACAGACCGAACUCGAGUGCGGAGGAGGAAAGCGCUCUUACGCUGGUUAAAAGAAAGAGGAAAUCUAGAGAAAGAAAGGCUGUGUUUAGGAGUGGUUUGUGGACAGAGGAAAGUGAGGUCUGGUAGAGGCAAUAACGAAGCCAUCAAUGGAGAUUUUUACUCUUGAAACCUAAAAACCAGAAGAAGCUGAUCAAAUCCAAAUCCUAAUUCUCAUGAUUUCUCGGAGAGAGAGAGAGAGAGAGAGAGAGA
rnacentral:misc_RNA from 1 species